AAAGGUGUGUCGUGCAACCGCUGACAGUAGAUUAUUUGUAAGGUAUACGGUGUGUCGUGAAAACACCACCAAUAGAAGUAAAUAUAAUAUACUUACACUUCUACGGUGUGUCGCUGCCGAUACGAUACAAUCAAAUCAUAUGGUGUGUCGUGAAAACGCUACCAAUACGACAAUCAAUGUAUAUGGUGUGCCGUAUAAGCGCUACCAAUUAAUAUACUAAUAAAAAUGGGCCGUUGUGAAAACUAGAACUACUCGUAUAGUCCAUUAUGCUUCCUUUUCGGAAACAAUUUCUAAAGAGAAGCCGAUAAUUCGUCUCAUUGAUAGCCCUGUUCUAGACCAGAGAACCGGGUACGUUACAGCAAAUUAGCGCAAUACUGUUCACUGUAGUUCCGUUUUGCAAGCAAUCAAUUAAUACUAUUCUAUCGCUAUCCCAGAAAAUGGUAGACAAAAUCGUCGUUGCUGACUUUUCCUCUUUCCUGUAUAAUCUUAAACUUGAAUAUUACAUUUUUACUAUUUCUUGUAAUGUGUAAUGCACAAAUUUUUGUUCUGAGGGCUGCGACGGUUUGGUAGAACUCAGUCACAACACUCGACAAGUUUGUGUUGGAUCAAGUGGCACACAAGCAAUGGAAAUGUUGGAGACAAUAAAUCACGAGACUUAAUAUAUGUUACAUUCGAGUUUGAGCAGAUAACAUGAAAUUUAGUAUAUUAUACGCUCACCCGCUUUGGGUGAGCCUGAUUUGAUGUUGUCGAAGUGAAAAAUAACAUUCAAGUAGUCUCGAGAGGAAAUUCGCGUAUUCAAUUAAGUAUGCACAAGUAAAAAUGCACGAAUGUGGGCGUCGGGCGUUCGGGCGUGCAUGCACAACAACAAAUGAUAAUGGCGAAAAAAAGUUUUAACCUAAAUUUUGUGACUUUGAAAAUUGAAACAAAAAACUUUAUAACACAAAUAUAUGUUGUAUAUUUUCAUAUAAUGUUCAGCAUAAAAAUAAAUACUUAAAUUCUAAAGAGUUAUGAAAGUAUUCCGAAUUA